UGCAUGUCGGUGGCUGUGUCCUUACCAGGGUUGGCAUCAAAGCAAUACCGGCACCACAGGUGGGCAUACAUGUGCUGUGGGGCGCCUGUAGAAGUGAGAAGACAACUUUUGGGAGGCAAAGUUCUCCUUCCAUGAUGGUCUACUCUAGGCAUCAAACUGAGAGCAGUUCAUCACUUCAGAUAAAGCCAGACACAAUCGCCAAAGCACCCCGCUGGAGGGGACCCCAGAAUUUAUCUCAUUCAGAGCCUUGCCUCCAGACUGGGUAUCUCUGUGGCUGUGAUGGACCCAUGCCUUCACCUCCUGCAUUCCUCAUAAGACCUGCCAUUAUUAAAGAAAAAGUCUAGUAUGAAGAAAGCCUGUAGCCUCCUCCAGCAAUGAUUUCUGAAAAUAUUGUAUUCUCGUGGUAAUUAUAAAUUUUAUAGACCAUCUCCUGUCCUU